rnacentral:rRNA from 1 species
GAACGCUGGCGGUAGGCCUAACACAUGCAAGUCGAACGGCAGCACAGUAAGAGCUUGCUCUUACGGGUGGCGAGUGGCGGACGGGUGAGGAAUACAUCGGAAUCUACUUUUUCGUGGGGGAUAACGUAGGGAAACUUACGCUAAUACCGCAUACGACCUACGGGUGAAAGCAGGUGAUCUUCGGACCUUGCGCGAUUGAAUGAGCCGAUGUCGGAUUAGCUAGUUGGCGGGGUAAAGGCCCACCAAGGCGACGAUCCGUAGCUGGUCUGAGAGGAUGAUCAGCCACACUGGAACUGAGACACGGUCCAGACUCCUACGGGAGGCAGCAGUGGGGAAUAUUGGACAAUGGGCGCAAGCCUGAUCCAGCCAUACCGCGUGGGUGAAGAAGGCCUUCGGGUUGUAAAGCCCUUUUGUUGGGAAAGAAAAGCAGCAGGUUAAUACCCCGCUGUUCUGACGGUACCCAAAGAAUAAGCACCGGCUAACUUCGUG